rnacentral:rRNA from 1 species
CAGCCGCCGCGGUAAUACGUAGGUGGCAAGCGUCGUCCGGAAUUAUUGGGCGUAAAGGGCUCGCAGGCGGUUUCUUAAGUCUGAUGUGAAAGCCCCCGGCUCAACCGGGGAGGGUCAUUGGAAACUGGGAAACUUGAGUGCAGAAGAGGAGAGUGGAAUUCCACGUGUAGCGGUGAAAUGCGUAGAGAUGUGGAGGAACACCAGUGGCGAAGGCGACUCUCUGGUCUGUAACUGACGCUGAGGAGCGAAAGCGUGGGGAGCGAACAGGAUUAGAUACCCCUGUAGUCCCUGUCUCUUAUAU